AGGCGGACGGGUGAGUAACGCGUAGGAAUCUACCUUCAGGAGGGGGACAACUCGGGGAAACUCGAGCUAAUACCGCAUAAUACCUAAGGGUCAAAGUGGGGGAUCUUCGGACCUCACGCCGGAAGAGGAGCCUGCGUUGGAUUAGCUAGUUGGUGAGGUAAAGGCUCACCAAGGCUACGAUCUAUAGCUGGUCUGAGAGGACGAUCAGCCACACUGGAACUGAGACACGGUCCAG
rnacentral:rRNA from 1 species